rnacentral:lncRNA from 1 species
CUGGUCGCGCUGUGCCGGGUGUGACACUACGUAGCCACUCUCUAGGCUUAUGAACUGAAAGACCAAGGAGCACAAUUUCCGAGUUUCAAAGAUACUUUCAAACUGAAAGGAACUGUUCGCCAGCUGCUCGCGAAGUGGCCCAUGUGACCCCUAGUGAACGGUCUAAACUUCCGCUAGAUGCUUUGGGAAUUCGUAAAGCGACUGCGUGCGCGGCAGCCAAGCCACAGCUUUACAGGGUUCGCCUUCUGUGUGGGAACGCAGCUUUUCCCGAGAAAUUGGGUUAGGGAUUAAAGAGAAGAACUGCAUCCUUUUUACUGCCCUUUUUCCACGUCUGUCCUGGGCUUAGGGCCCUCCUCAGAGGCCAGAGGGGUAGGCGAGUCCGGGGCGGUAGGGGGCUGCGUCCGGAAGUCCAGGCUGCGUUCUGUCCACCCUGCCCACCCUUAGGGGGCAGGACAGGAAUAAGGUCACCUCACCAAAGAGGCCCAUCAACAUGGAAGAAUAUUUCAGUGAAUCUUGACUCACCAAGCUCAGUGACUUUUCAUUGAAAAGGGAGAGCAGAUUACAUUAUCAAAAGCACCAAGUUGAAACAUUUGCAAGGUGAGGAAACUGAGCACUAAGACACUAAAUAACUUGCCCAGGGUCAUACGACAGACAUGAGAGGUUUAUAUCAGGCAGUCUCCACCCCUGUUCCGAAGUCAAGAGGCUGACUCGGGUUGCUACUUCUUGACAGACCGGACCCCAGAUCGCCGAAGACCAUUUGGACACACUUCUAUCAAAUCCUGGCGGUCUCCUUCUAACAGGGAGUGGGAUGCUGCUCUAAUGAUACCCCGAAAUGUGGAAGUGACCUUGAAACUGUUUAACAGGCAGAGGUUGGAACUGUUUGGAGGGCUCAGAAGAAGACAGGAAGAUGUGGGAACGUUUGGAACUUCCUAGAGACUUGUUGAAUGGCUUUGACCAAAAUACUGAUAGUCAUAUGAACAAUGAAGUACAGGCUGAGGUGUUUUCAGAUGGAAAUGA